rnacentral:rRNA from 1 species
ACGGGUGAGUAACGCGUGGGAACGUACCUUUUGGUUCGGAACAACACAGGGAAACUUGUGCUAAUACCGGAUAAGCCCUUACGGGGAAAGAUUUAUCGCCGAAAGAUCGGCCCGCGUCUAAUUAGCUAGUUGGUGAGGUAAUGGCUCACCAAGGCGACGAUCAGUAGCUGGUCUGAGAGGAUGAUCAGCCACACUGGGACUGAGACACGGCCCAGACUCCUACGGGAGGCAGCAGUGGGGAAUAUUGGACAAUGGGCGCAAGCCUGAUCCAGCCAUGCCGCGUGAGUGAUGAAGGCCCUAGGGUUGUAAGGCUCUUUUGUGCGGGAAGAUAAUGACGGUACCGCAAGAAUAAGCCCCGGCUAACUUCGUGCCAGCAGCCGCGGUAAUACGAAGGGGGCUAGCGUUGCUCGGAAUCACUGGGCGUAAAGGGUGCGUAGGCGGGUCUUUAAGUCAGGGGUGAAAUCCUGGAGCUCAACUCCAGAACUGCCUUUGAUACUGAAGAUCUUGAGUUCGGGAGAGGUGAGUGGAACUGCGAGU